AUUGAACGCUGGCGGCAGGCCUAACACAUGCAAGUCGAGCGAGCGGCGGACGGGUGAGUAAUGUAUGGGGAUCUGCCUGAUGGCGGGGGAUAACUACUUGGAACGGUAGCUAAUACCGCAUACCAUCCAAUGAACCCAUAUGGGGUUAGCUUGUAGGUGAGGUAACGGCUCACCUAGGCUACGAUCCCUAGCGGGGCUGAGCGGAUGAUGAGCAAAACUGGGACGGAGCAAAGGCCACGAUGCCUACGGGAGGCAGCAGGGGGGAAUAUUGCACAAUGGGCGAAAGCCUGAUGCAGCCAUGCGGCGUGUAUGAAGAAGGCCUUCGGGUUGUAAAGUAUUUUCAGUAGGGCGGCGGUACCGAAAUAAGAAGCACCGGCUAACUCCGUGCCAGCAGCCGCGGUAAUAC
rnacentral:rRNA from 1 species